UACGUAGGGUGCAAGCGUUGUCCGGAAUUAUUGGGCGUAAAGAGCUCGUAGGCGGUUCGUCGCGUCGGCUGUGAAAUCCCGAGGCUCAACCUCGGGUCUGCAGUCGAUACGGGCGGACUGGAGUACUGCAGGGGAGACUGGAAUUCCUGGUGUAGCGGUGAAAUGCGCAGAUAUCAGGAGGAACACCGGUGGCGAAGGCGGGUCUCUGGACAGUUCCUGACGCUCAUGCACGAAAGCCAGGGGAGCAAACGGG
rnacentral:rRNA from 1 species